CUGGGACCGAAACCGAUCGAAUCGAUAAGGAUUUUCUUCGGCUGAAUCUCGUAGGUGAAUAUCGAAAGAAAAUUGAACUUUGAGGUACAGAACUUUUAGGAAGGGCUCGCAGGUGAAGAACAGGGGGGCAUUUCAUGGUAAUCGAAGAGAACGCCAUCUGACAAAUCCGGUUGUGCUGCCGCGAUUAUUCCGGCGAACGGCGAACGGCGGCCGGG
rnacentral:misc_RNA from 1 species